rnacentral:sRNA from 1 species
GCUGGGUGUGGUGGCGCACACCUGUAAUCCCCAUGACUCAGGAGGCUGAGGCAGGAGGAUCUCAAAUUCAAAGCCAGCCUCAGCAAAAAGCAAGGCCCUAAGCAACUCAGUGAGACCUUGUCUCUA